rnacentral:rRNA from 1 species
CCUACGGGGGGCAGCAGUGGGGAAUAUUGGGCAAUGGACGCAACUCUGACCCAGCAACGCCGCGUGAAGGAAGAAGGCUUUCGGGUUGUAAACUUCUUUUAAGGGGGAAGAGCAGAAGACGGUACCCCUUGAAUAAGCCACGGCUAACUACGUGCCAGCAGCCGCGGUAAUACGUAGGGGGAAAGCGUUGUCCGGAUUUACCGGGUGUAAAGGGCGUGGAGCCGGGAAGACAAGUCAGAUGUGAAAUCCACGGGCUCAACCCGUGAGCUGAAUUUAAAACUGUUUGCCUUGAGUGUCGGAGAGGUAAUCGGAAUUCCUUGUGUAGCGGUGGAAUGCGUAGAUAUAAGGAAGAACACCAGUGGCGAAGGCGGAUUACUGGACUGUAACUGACGGUGAGGCGCGAAAGCGUGGGGAGCAAACAGGAUUAGAUACCCUUGUAGUC